CGGCGGCCCCAGAGACACUCUGGAGGAGCGAGCCGGCAUCAUGUAGGUGCGCCUGGUACGGGCCGUGGCGUAAGUCGCCGGCCUCCUCGUCCUUGUCGGAGAGCUGGGACAAGAGGGAAGGGAACGUUACUUCACCACAGAAGUAACUCAGCACUGAGCCUCCGGAGAGGAGGAGGACGGAGCCGCCCCAGCCGACGAAAACCGCCGCUCCAAUUUCAAACCUGACCGAGCAAACGCAUCAGCGUGUUUUCUUUAAACGUUGCUUAAUAGAGAUCGUGCUGCUGCUGCUGCUUCAGAGAUACUCACUUCUGCUCCCUGAAAUUUGGGUCCAGGUACGUUAAGGCUCCGGCGAAGGUCACCCUGGCGUUGGCGAGCUCCGAGCCGCCGAUUUUAGUGCAUUUCAUCCCGAUGAGGGUGAGGACGCCGCCGAAGAAGCCGGUGAUGACGGCGCAGACCGCCAGGGCUCUGCAGACGUGCAGGGAAGGCCGAGCAUGGAGGGGUAGUCCUUGCAGUCGGACACGCCGGUGGUAUCGGAGAUGCAGUCCCGCCACAGGUUGGAGUAGUAGUUGGACGUGGUCAGCACGAUGCUGCCCACCUCGGAGAAGGUCCAGUACUCGGUGGGGAGGGUGGAGCAGACCAGGAUCCAGCCGCACAGGCAGGACACGAAGCAGCCGAUCUCCAUGUACAUCACCACCGACCUGUACUCCAUGGUGAACAAACCUUUGUGGAGGCUUACGUCCGCACACCGUGGCGCAGUGAGCUGCACAGCCGAGGAAGAUGAGCAGACUCCCCACCAGGCCCAGUAUCCAGCCACGUCUGACGCGCCUGCAUGAGGGAAAGGCCGCGACACAGAGAGAAGCACGACGAACCAGUUAGCAGAGAGCCGCCGCUUACACAACAGCCGUUCGCACUGGCAAACGCAACACACUGCACUCACAGCCGGCCAAGUGGAAAGCGCACGCCGUCGCUAACGUCCCGUCUUUGCGGGCGCCGUCCCCGCCGACCCGCGUGCACUCCAUCCCAAAAAACGUGAGGACCGCGCCGAGCAAACCGAGGCAGAGGCCCGUGAGCAGCAGCCCCCGCACCGCCUGGAGAACCCCGAAGUCCACGCAGUUCACCAGAGCCGUGGAGUCCUCGUAGCAGUCCCUCCACAGGUUGGAAGCUGCUCAGACUCGUAUCGGCCUACCUCCAGUGGUCCAUGGCUAGUGUGCAGCCCACCAAGACCCAGCCCAGCAGGCAGAGCAGCAGGCCCAGAAUCUGAAGCGGUCUCUUCCACAUCCCUCGGUUCUGAUAUAAGAGUUUUUGACGAACGGUGUCGACUCGCUCCUCGAACUGCCCGACAGCGAGGAUCCCGUCCGGCUGCUGCUGCUGCUCCUCGAUAAAGUUGACACGCUGGACAUCGACGAGAGG